CCCUGCCUCGGCCUCAUGAGUAGCUGGGACUGCCUACAGGCAGCAAUUGGAGAUGCCUUGGAUGUCCCAGAGCAGCGGCAAGGUUUUCCACUGGGCCCCAGCUGAUGGAACCAUUUGCAAUGGAAGGACUGAUAUCUUCGGUUAGCUGCCUUACACUGAACGUGAAGGCACAUUAAUCCUGGACCAUUUAUGGAGGAGUAGAUGGAUGAUUCUACAAAGGCAUCAAAGGUAAGUUGAUAGUUCAAAAUGAGCAUCGAGA